GCAAAGUUCUGAUAUUCUGAUACUUCUACAAAGAUUUUAUGAUGCUCAGUGUUAUGUGUAUUGUUUUUAAUCUAUCAAUAUUUUGCUUCACAGGUGCCAAAGGCUCCAUCCAAGUCUUCUCUGUCUGGUUCUGCCAAAUGUUGCAGUGAUGCUAAUUAUGUGGAGUUAGCACAUGGCACAGGUAUAACCAUUCUAAAGCAUCAAUGGACUUCUGCCGUGCAGACCCAAACAGCCACUUCAAUGGUACAUGUUCUUUUAAUGGCCUCCUUCCC